CGCGCUUGCCACGGAGUGGUUCAUGACUGGGGUGAAGUCGUAACAAGGUAGCCGUAUCGGAAGGUGCGGCUGGAUCACCUCCUUU
rnacentral:ncRNA from 1 species